GCACUUUGGUAGCACAUAUACUAAAACUGAAACAAUACAGAGAAGAUUAGCAUGGCCCAUACCCAAGGAUGGCACGUAAUCCAUGAAGCAUUCCAUAUUUUA